rnacentral:rRNA from 1 species
CAGUCGCCGCGGUAAUACGUAGGGUGCGAGCGUUAAUCGGAAUUACUAGGCGUAAAGCGUGCGCAGGCGGUUGUGUAAGACAGGUGUGAAAUCCCCGGGCUUAACCUGGGAACUGCGCUUGUGACUGCACAGCUAGAGUAUGGCAGGGGGGGGUGGAAUUCCACGUGUAGCAGUGAAAUGCGUAGAGAUGUGGAGGAACACCGAUGGCGAAGGCAGCCCCCUGGGAUAACACUGACGCUCAUGCACGAAAGCGUGGGGAGCAAACAGGAUUAGAUACCCGGGUAGUCCCUGUCUCUUAUAC